UACGAAGGGGGCUAGCGUUGCUCGGAAUCACUGGGCGUAAAGCGCACGCAGGCGGCUUUCUAAGUCGGGGGUGAAAUCCUGGAGCUCAACUCCAGAACUGCCUUUGAUACUGGCGAUCUCGAGUCCGGGAGAGGUGAGUGGAACUGCGAGUGUAGAGGUGAAAUUCGUAGAUAUUCGCAAGAACACCAGUGGCGAAGGCGGCUCACUGGCCCGGUACUGACGCUGAGGUGCGAAAGCGUGGGGAGCAAACAGG
rnacentral:rRNA from 1 species